rnacentral:sRNA from 1 species
UAAUGAACUAUAAUGGCUCUGCAACAC